UACGUAGGGUCCGAGCGUUGUCCGGAUUUACUGGGCGUAAAGCGCGCGCAGGCGGCGGUAUAAGCAUGGCGUGAAAGCCCCAGGCUUAACCUGGGAGGGUCGUCGUGGACUGUACCGCUUGAGGGCGAUAGGGGCUGGUGGAAUGCCUGGUGUAGUGGUGAAAUGCGUAGAGAUCAGGCGGAACACCCGUGGCGAAGGCGGCAUUCUGGACCGAUAUUGACGCUGAGGAGCGAAAGCCAGGGGAGCAAACGGG
rnacentral:rRNA from 1 species